CCAGAGUUAUGAUAAAUUAUGUCCGCGAUACUUUUUUUCUGCUUAUUUUGAUCACGUUCGGCGCUCGAUCGCGCUGUAUGAGACAGGAAAACAUAGCAUGCAGACAUUAGCGACAGGUCUUACAGGCGGAAAAGGCUUGCCAAAGGAAAAAAAAAACACACCACAACAUCUCUCCUAUUGGUGGAAAACUUCACCACAACAACCAAUCCAAAAUUAUAUGGUGACUGAUUGACAAGGGGCGGGCGCUUACGUUCUUCCUGCAAUAUGAGAAGGGAGGGAGGGACUCUCAGCAGGGAUGCAGUCUGGGACACGUAGUUGCAAACCUAGCGACUUUGUUGUUAGAUUCAAUGACUUUUCAGACCCCCUAACGACUUUUUUUAGAAAGAAAGUGACUUUUAUCGACUUCUUCUGGAGUUUAGAGACUCUGACAUGAAGCAGGCUUUCCUUACUGAGGAGUUAGCAACGCUGCUAAGGGUGCAGAGCCACACAUGCGCUCCGAGCUCUGCAUGGGAGACUGAAGCUGACAGAGCUGCAGCAGUUAGCAGGUUUCACCCUCAGAGACCACCAGGGGUUCAUGUUGAGGCAUUUUCAGUUUUUUUUUUUUUUUUGCCAUAGACACUGUCAGCACAAUCUGCAGUUACACUAACAAAAAUGCUGCAAAAAACAAAGAAUUAUGGAAAAAUUACACAUGGACUAACAUAGAGGAGGAUCUACACAAGUUUUUUUACAUCAUGUUUUACAUCAUGCAUCAUUUACAUCAUGUUUUUUUGUAGUGGCAUAAAUAAAAAGUGACAUUUGUGAGACUAUACAGUGUUUUGUAAAUAAUUUUACAAAGAACACCUGGGCCAUUGCCUGCAUUUUGAUGUAAAUAGAGGUAAAUUACUACGUUCUUUGUUAAAAAAUUUGCAUAUGUUUUGAAGUUUACAAUUUUUAUUUGAAGUUUAAGUUUUAAAAACAGUUCAUCACACAUAUUUGUGGUUUUCACAGUAAAAACGUUACUUUUUUCCACUCGGAUUUUAUGUUUUGUGUGUGAAUUUGGGUCCAAAUAUAGUAUGUCAGAAUGAUAAAAUAACUGUAAAUUGACACAGGUGAGGUUGUGCUGAAAAAAAUGAUACCAGGCAAGGUAAGGUAAAAAUUUUGUAAGAGGAAAUAUAAAGGUAAAAUCUAAAGUAGUCAAAAACGGCCAAUAGUGACUCACAGACUCCACAGACAAGUCCCUUUGGCGCCACUCAGUGGGCAAAACUACUUUGUCUACUGUAAUGUAUAUUUGGGUCAUCUUUGGCGCCCCCUAAAACGUAAACAGUGGGGUGCAGCGUCAUGAUUUUUACAACUUUGAAUGGCCAUGGAGUGUAGAUUGGCCUGAGCAAAUUUGGUGUCAGUGGGACGAAAGCCUUAGGAGGAGUUAGCGAAAUUCCAAUGUGUGCGAAUCGGCAAAAAAUGCAUAAUAGCCCUUUUACCGUACAUUAUACAGAUACGCGCUCUUUGACUUUUUCGUAGAUCUAAUUGAGAUACACAUGAUUGUCAAUUUUUGUGUCAUUUUGCCAAAGCGCACAGGCGUGACAGUCAACAAUGUGUAUUUUCACCUUAGGGGACAAGAAAAAAUGGACUUUUUUCUCCUGCCAUGGGGGGGCGCUCUUUUAGGGAGUAAAAAUUCCUUCACAAAUGUGUUGAUGGCUGGACAUUGCAUCAUCCUAGAAAACUUGGAGGCCGGUGAGGACAAAAAUAAAAAGUUAUAAGACUUUUAAAACUGUGGAUUUUUGGGUUAUCUUUGGCGCCCCCUAGAACGUAAACCGUGGGGUGCAGCGUCAUGAUUUGAAUAACUUUUAAUGGCCAUGGGGUGUAAUUUGGCCUGAGCAAAUGUGGUGCCGGUGGAACGAAAGCCUUCGGAGGAGUUAGCGAAAUUCCAAUGUGUGCGAAUCGGCAAAAAAUGCGGAAUAACCCUUUAACCGUACAUUUGACAGAUACGCGCGCAUGGACUUUUUUGUAGAUCUUAUUGAGAUACAUGUGUGUUUCAAUUUUUGUGUCAUUUUGACAAAGCGUACAGGCGUGACACUCAACGAUGUGUAUUUUCACCUUAAGGGACAAGAAAAAAUGGACUUUUUUCUCCUGCCAUGGGGGGGCGCUCUUUUGGGGAGUAAAAAUUCCUUCACAAAUGUGUUGAUGGCUGGACAUUGCAUCAUCCUAGAAAACUUGGAGGCCAGUGAGGGCAAAAAUAAAAAGUUAUAAGACUUUUAAAUAUGUGGAUUGUAGGGUUAUCUUUGGCGCCCCCUAGAACCUAAACCGUGGGGUGCAGCAUCAUGAUUUGAAUAACUUUUAAUGGCCAUGGGGUGUAGAUUGGCCUGAGCAAAUGUGGUGCCGGUGGAACGAAAGCCUUCGGAGGAGUUAGCGAAAUUCCAAUGUGUGCGGAUCGGCAAAAAAUGCGAAAUAACCCUUUAACCGUACAUUUGACAGAUACGCCCGCACUGACUUUUUUGUAGAUCUUAUUGAAAUACAUGUGUGUGUCAAUUUUUGUGUCAUUUUGACAAAGCGUACAGGCGUGACAGUCAAUAGUGUGAAUUUUCACCUUAGGGGGCGCUAUGGAGCCAUUUUGCAUUUUCUUGUUUGGGCGACUUCGGAAUAUCAAAUUUUUCACCAGGCCCGGUCAUCCUGCCAAAUUUCAUGAGUUUUUGCCAGUGGGAAGUGGGCCAUUUUCCAGUUCAAAGGGGAGGAAAAAGAAGAAACUAGGGCCCCGGUGGGGCACUGGCGGGCCCGAGCCGUGUCGCGCCGCCCCCAGCGCGACCGCCUACCCCUCCCGAUUGCGUCACACUCAAGGUCCAAAGAUGGUGUGCGCACUUGUCUGUGGUCAUUUACCAUUAUAAUGAAUGGGAGGCGCAGUUUCUACCAAAACGCUCGCUGCAGACAAACUCCAUGUCCUUUUUGAAAAAAGUCUGGACCAUGAGUGAGGGCACAAACACAGCUAGUAUAUAUCCAAAUGGCAAGUUGCUCCUCCUUUCGGUUUUGCCGAGAGAGCGAUGCGUUUGAGCCAUUGAGCGAUGGGCAGGAAAAACUUGACUUUUUCUCGUGCCAUCGGGGGAGAGAAUGUGGAUUCUUUUAAAAAUGUGGAUAUUUGGGUCCUCUUUGGCGCCCCCUAGAACCUAAACCGUGGGGUGCAGCGUCAUGAUUUUUACAACUUUGAAUGGCCAUGGGGUGUAGAUUGGCCUGAGCAAAUUUGGUGUCAGUGGGACGAAAGCCUUAGGAGGAGUUAGCCACAUUCCAAUGUGUGCGAAUCGGCAAAAAAUGCGAAAUAGCCCUUUAACCGUACAUUUUACAGAUACGCGCGCAUUGACUUUUUUGUAGAUCUUAUUGAGAUACAUGUGUGUGUCAAUUUUUGUGUCAAUAUGACAAAGCGUAUAGGCGUGACAUUCAACAAUGUGUAUUUUUGCCUUGGGGGACAAGAAAAAAUUGACUUUUUUCUCCUGCCAUGGGGGGGCGCUCUUUUGGCGAGUAAAAAUUCCUUCACAAAUGUGUUGAUGGCUGGACAUUGCAUCAUCCUAGAGAACUUGGAGGCCAGUGAGGACAAAAAUAAAAAGUUAUAAGACUUUUAAGACUGUGGAUUUUUGGGUUAUCUUUGGCGCCCCCUAGAACCUAAACCGUGGGGUGCAGCGUCAUGAUUUGUACAACUUUGAAUGGCCAUGGGGUGUAGAUUGGCCUGAGCAAAUGUGGUGCUGGUGGAACGAAAGCCUUCGGAGGAGUUAGCGAAAUUCCAAUGUGUGCGGAUCUGCAAAAAAUGCGAAAUAACCAUUUAACCAUACAUUUGACAGAUACGCCCGCACUGACUUUUUUGUAGAUCUUAUUGAGAUACAUGUGUGUGUCAAUUUUUGUGUCAAUAUGACAAAGCGUACAGGCGUGACAGUCAAUAGUGUGAAUUUUCACCUUAGGGGGCGCUAUGGAGCCAUUUUGCAUUUUAUUGUUUGGGCGACUUCAGAAUAUCGAAUUUUUCACCAGGCCCGGUCGUCCUGCCAAAUUUCAUGAGUUUUCGCCAGUGGGAAGUGGGCCAUUUUCCAGUUUAAAGCGGAGGAAAAAUAAUAAUAAUAAUAACUAGGGCCCCGUUGGGGCACUGGCGGGCCCGAGCCGCGUUGCGCCGCCCCCAGUGCGACCGCCUCCCCCUCCCGAUCGCGUCACACUCAAGGUCCAAAGAUGGUGUGCGCACUUGUCUGUGGUCAUUUCCCAUUAUAAUGAAUGGGAGGCGCAGUUUCUACCAAAACACUCGCUGCAGACAAACUACAUGUCCUAUUUGAAAAAAGUCUGGACCAUGAGUGAGGGCACAAACACAGCUAGGAUAUAUCCAAACGGCAAGUUGCUCCUCGUUACGGUGUUGCCGGGAGAGCGAUGCGAUUGAGCCAUUGAGUGAUGGGCAGGAAAAACUUGACUGUUUCUCCUGCCAUGGGGGAUGGGGGAUGGGAGGGGGGGGAAAGGGAUGUGGAUUCUUUUAAGAAUGUGGAUAUUUGGGUCAUCUUUGGCGCCCCCUAGAACGUAAACCGUGGGGUGCAGCGUCAUGAUUUUUAAAACUUUGAAUGGCCAUGGGGUGUAGAUUGGCCUGAGCAAAUUUGGUGUCAGUGGGACGAAAGCCUUAGGAGGAGUUAGCCACAUUCCAAUGUGUGCUAAUCAGCAAAAAAUGCAAAAUAGCCCUUUAACCGUACAUUUUACAGAUACGCGCGCAUUGACUUUUUCGUAGAUCUUAUUGAGAUACAUGUGUGUGUCAAUUUUUGUGUCAAUAUGACAAAGCAUACAGGUAUGACAGUCAACAAUGUGUAUUUUCACCUUAUGGGACAAGAAAAAAUGGACUUUUUUCUCCUGCCAUGGGGGGGCGCUCUUUUAGGGAGUAAAAAUUCCUUCACAAAUGUGUUGAUGGCUGGACAUUGCAUCAUCCUAGAAAACUUGGAGGCCAGAGAGGACAAAAAUAAAAAGUUAUAAGACUUUUAAAUAUGUGGAUUUUUGGGUUAUCUUUGGCGCCCCCUAGAACCUAAACCGUGGGGUGCAGCGUCAUGAUUUGAAUAACUUUUAAUGGCCAUGGGGUGUAGAUUGGCCUGAGCAAAUGUGGUGCCGGUGGAACGAAAGCCUUCGGAGGAGUUAGCGAAAUUCCAAUGUGUGCGGAUCGGCAAAAAAUGCGCAAUAACCCUUUAACCGUACAUUUGACAGAUACGCCCGCACUGACUUUUUUGUAGAUCUUAUUGAGAUACAUGUGUGUGUCAAUUUUUGUGUAAUUUUGACAAAGCGUACAGGCGUGACAGUCAAUAGUGUGAAUUUUCACCUUAUGGAACAAGAAAAAAUGGACUUUUUUCUCCUGCCAUGGGGGGGCGCUCUUUUGGGGAGUAAAAAUUCCUUCACAAAUGUGUUGAUGGCUGGACAUUGCAUCAUCCUUGAAAACUUGGAGGCCAGUGAGGGCAAAAAUAAAAAGUUAUAAGACUUUGAAAUAUGUGGAUUUUAGGGUUAUCUUUGGCGCCCCCUAGAACAUAAACCGUGGGGUGCAGCGUCAUGAUUUGAAUAACUUUUAAUGGCCAUGGGGUGUAGAUUGGCCUGAGCAAAUGUGGUGCCGGUGGAACGAAAGCCUUCGGAGGAGUUAGCGAAAUUCCAAUGUGUGCGGAUCGGCAAAAAAUGCGAAAUAACCCUUUAACCGUACAUUUGACAGAUACGCCCGCACUGACUUUUUUGUAGAUCUUAUUGAGAUACAUGUGUGUGUCAAUUUUUGUGUCAUUUUGACAAAGCGUACAGGCGUCAGGUGAAUUUUUCACCUUAGGGGGCGCUAUGGAGCCAUUUUGCAUUGUAUUGUUUGGGCGACUUCAGAAUAUCAAAUUUUUCACCAGGCCCGGUCGUCCUGCCAAAUUUCAUGAGUUUUCGCCAGUGGGAAGUGGGCCAUUUUCCAGUUCAAAGGGGAGGAAAAAUAAUAAUAACAAAAGAAGGAAACAUGCAGGAACAAGAGGGCUCUCGCAGCUGCUUAGCAGCUACGCUCGGGCCCUAACUAGGGCCCCGUUGGGGCACUGGCGGGCCCGAGCCGUGUCGCGCUGCCCCCCCCCAACGCGCUGCCUCCCCGCCCCAUUCGCGUCCUCUGGCCAUCGCCCUCUCUGGUAACGCCCAUCACUGCAAAGACCCUUUCCUUCAUCGGCGUUUGCUGUUCUUCCUGCCAGUGCGUGUUGCUUUCACUUACACUUGCCACAGCCAGCCUCGUGAGUGCCUAGCCUAUUGGAUAUCACUGUCAUCUACACAGGACAGUCAUAACCUUUCUAUUAAUACUUGUUUUUUAAUUUCACAUUAAUUUCCAUAUUGUAUAAAUGACUGGAAAAAACUUGAGCCCCUGCCCCUGUAUAAUCAUGUGCACGUCCCUGUUCUAGCUCCAAGGUGAAUCUUCACUGCUCAUGUUCUCCUCAGAAGUAGUCACCUCACUCCCCUCAGGUGACUGUACACAUGCACCAACUGCCUGCUUCAGGUUUGGAUGGAGCUUCAUGGUUGUCUUUUGGAGAAAUGAGCAGUCAAGUUGUGUUUGAAAUUUGAUUUUUUUCAGGGGCAAAAAGGGGCCUCUGCAUUCUAGUCAAAUAUGUAAAUAGCAUGUUUUUGCAGGUGCUAAAAAAAAGACUCUGAGUGUGUGUGUGUGUAUAUCCUGCAGUACUCUGAGAAGAAUAAUAAGCAUAUUUCUGAGGUGAAUUUUGAAGAUUCUUCUGAGAGUUAGGAGGGCUGAUCAUUCCCUUUCCCUUUAGAUGUCUGUCUAUGUCUGUUUUUGUGUGAUAAUGAAAGAAUCCCAACUCAAAAAGGCUCUGUUGAUGUUUUUUUUGUUGUUGUUCAUUCAUAUUCAAACCACUAUUUUAUAUCACUGCUAAUACGCCAAGACCAUUUUAUGGAAUUUAGCUUUAUUAUUUCUAUACAUUUUGCAAGGAAAGAAACCAAGGCCUUCACUAAAAUUUCCAUAAACUUUAGAAAAGGACCUCUGGUUGUUUAACGGGGUCAUUACUGCAAAAACAUAUUCUUCCUAAAUUUUGAAGGUCAAACCUUAGAUCCAUUAGGUUUAAAUAGAAAAAGCAUUAAAAUAUGUUAGGAUUAUAGCAUAUGACAAAUAUGUGCCUUUCAGUGGCCACAACUACUUUGUCUGCUGGCUCUGCAGUCGAUUGACGCUCCCCAGCGUUCAAGUCACAUUACAUAUUUAACCGGAUGUAGCAGCAAGACGGAGCCUCGUUGACUCUCCGUUUCAACUUAUCUCAAAAGUGAGGACCUCAAACUAUACACCAGUUUUCAAAUUGUGUUGAUAGGCCAAAUAAAACCAGAGUUAUGAUAAAUUAUGUCCGCGAUACUUUUUUUCUGCUUAUUUUGAUCACGUUCGGCGCUCGAUCGCGCUGUAUGAGACAGGAAAACAUAGCAUGCAGACAUUAGCGACAGGUCCUACAGGCGGAAAAGGCUUGCCAAAGAAAAAAAAAAAACACACCACAACAUCUCUCCUAUUGGUGGAAAACUUCACCACAACAACCAAUCCAAAAUUAUAUGGUGACUGAUUGACAAGGGGCGGGCGCUUACGUUCUUCCUGCAACAUGAGAAGGGAGGGAGGAACUCUCAGCAG